CCUACGGGUGGCAGCAGUAGGGAAUAUUGCUCAAUGGGGGAAACCCUGAAGCAGCAACGCCGCGUGGAGGAAGAAGGUUUUCGGAUUGUAAACUCCUUUUGGUAGGGAAGAUAAUGACGGUAUCUAACGAAUAAGCACCGGCUAACUACGUGCCAGCAGCCGCGGUAAUACGGAGGGUGCAAGCGUUAUCCGGAAUCACUGGGCGUAAAGGGGGCGUAGGCGGGAGAGCAAGUCAGGUGUGAAAUGCUAUGGCUUAACCAUAGAACUGCAUUUGAAACUGUGAUUCUAGAGUGUGGGAGAGGUAAGUGGAAUUCUUGGUGUAGGGGUAAAAUGCGUAGAGAUCAAGAGGAAUACUCAUUGCGAAGGCGACCUGCUAGAACAUAACUGACGCUGAGGCGCGAAAGCGUGGGGAGCAAACAGGAUUAGAUACCCUUGUAGUC
rnacentral:rRNA from 1 species